CCUUACUGCUAUCGGGGUGGGACUAAGACAUGCGAGUCGAGCGUCUCUAGCUAUGUUGAGACGCGGCAGACGGCUCAGUAACGCGUGGCUAACCUACCCUCAGGACGAGAAUAAACCCGGGAAACUGGGGCUAAUGCUCGAUAGGUGAGGAUGUCUGGAAUGACUUCUCACCCAAAGGGCCUUGGAAACAUGCUUUCAAGGUCGCCUGGGGAUGGGGCCGCGGCCGAUCAGGCUGUUGGUGAGGUAAUGGCUCACCAAACCUUUGACCGGUACGGGCCAUGAGAGUGGUAGCCCGGAGAUGGACACUGAGACAAGGGUCCAGGCCCUACGGGGCGCAGCAGGCGCGAAACCUCCUCAAUGCACUUACGUGCGAAGGGGCUACCUCGAGUGCCACCUGAUGAAGGUGGCUUUUCCUAGGUCUAAAAAGCCUUGGGAAUAAGAGGGGGGCAAGACUGGUGUCAGCCGCCGCGGUAACACCAGCCCCUCGAGUGGUGGGGAUGAUUAUUGGGCCUAAAGCGUCCGUAGCCUGCCGUGUAAGUUUCCCGUUAAAUCCAGCGUCUCAAGCGUUGGACUGCGGGAAAUACUGUACGGCUAGAGAGUGGGAGAGGUCAGCGGUAUUCUGGGGGUAGGGGCGAAAUCCUUUGAUCCCCGGAGGACCACCAGUGGCGAAGGCUGCUGUCUAGAACACGUCUGACGGUCAGGGACGAAAGCUGGGGUAGCGAACCGGAUUAGAUACCCGGGUAGUCCCAGCCGUAAACGAUGCAUGCUAGGUGUUGGGUUGGCCACGAGCCACCCCAGUGCCGCAGGGAAGCCGUUAAGCAUGCCGCCUGGGAAGUACGAUCGCAAGGUUGAAACUUAAAGGAAUUGGCGGGGGGGCACCACCAGGCGUGAAGCCUGCGGUUU
rnacentral:rRNA from 1 species